rnacentral:rRNA from 1 species
AUUGAACGCUGGCGGCAUGCCUUACACAUGCAAGUCGAACGGUAACAGGCCGCAAGGUGCUGACGAGUGGCGAACGGGUGAGUAAUGCAUCGGAACGUGCCCAGUCGUGGGGGAUAACUAUCCGAAAGGAUAGCUAAUACCGCAUACGAUCUGCGGAUGAAAGCGGGGGACCUUCGGGCCUCGCGCGAUUGGAGCGGCCGAUGUCAGAUUAGGUAGUUGGUGGGGUAAAGGCUCACCAAGCCAACGAUCUGUAGCUGGUCUGGGAGGACGACCAGCCACACUGGGACUGAGACACGGCCCAGACUCCUACGGGAGGCAGCAGUGGGGAAUUUUGGACAAUGGGCGCAAGCCUGAUCCAGCAAUGCCGCGUGCAGGAAGAAGGCCUUCGGGUUGUAAACUGCUUUUGUACGGAACGAAACGGCUCUGGUUAAUACCUGGGGCUAAUGACGGUACCGUAAGAAUAAGCACCGGCUAACUACGUGCCAGCAGCCGCAGUAA